GUUCCCCUCCAUCCAAAUUCCCCCAAUUCAAUUUUCGGGCAUUUGGGAAUUUUAUUUAUCUUUGCGAAAAUGUCAAAAGCAGUUGAGCGAACGGCAAACAAAAGAAAACAAACGAAUUGAAGAAUUGGGCAGCAGCAGUAGCAGGGGAAUACGGCGAGUGACAGCUUGCACUUAGAGCACUUAAGAUAACUGUAUCUUGUGGCAAGUGCAAGCAGGGCUCACGGUCCAGCCCAGCGCUGAUGACUACGAUGAUGUCUACUAUGCAAGAUUUAUGAAAACUGUUGACAUUUAGUGCUUCGAACCGUAAACAGUGAAGCAAGGCUGCCAAAUCUACAUGCGAACAAUAGCGGCUCCAAUGAAUGCAGAGGCAUAACGCAAAUAACACACAAAAUGAAAAAAAGAGAGUGCAAAAAAAGAGAGACGAAAAUGACAAGCGGGCGGACAGUUGGACAGUCUGACAAGCAAACACACACAAAGACAGUUUACUGCAUUUGGCAGAGAAAGUGAUGGCGAUGGAAAUUGCAAAGGGGCAUGAUAACUAAUUCAAACGGUUCAAUUUAAAUACGCUACAUUUUUAUUUAUAUUUAUCGUUUCGCAAUAAAUCGAAAUUCGAACAACAAACGUUGUCUCUCAAUUGCUGAAUGAUAUGGAAGUAUCAACUCCAACGAAAGCUGCAAUCGAAAUUCUUAUCGAUUACGCAUGAGUUGCGCUAAUUACUAAAGUAUGGAAAAUUUUCAAAAAGUAAACAAAUUACUUGUGGCAACGUCUUGUGGAAAUAUCCUGCUUAAAAUGCAAUUCGAUUAAUUAUCGUCAACCAGCGAAUAAUCGAUAGGAGGCCAUAAAUAAUAUAUUUGCAAACGCGCGCGCAAAAGGAAUUUUUCGCUUAUUGCGCACAGUUUUUAUGGUACUGCAAAGUGAAUUGAAUUGUUUUUUGCUUACAGAGGCGAGCAUAAGUGGCAACUACGAGUCUCAAUUCAGUGCUGAAGUGGCAGUGGGAGUGGAAGAGCGAGGGUUAUACUGCAAUCAGAUGAAGCUGACGCCGUCAGUUGCUGUUUGCUGACCAGUGGACAUCCUUCCGGUCGGCUGGUCGUGCCAAGGUGCCUAUGCAAAUAAAAAUAAGGCAUGGGCCAGCGCACACAAGCAAAAGUUAAGCGGAUAAACGGAACGGAACGACAGCGAUAGAGAGAGACAGCAAGAGAGAGAAAGGAUUUACAAGAUGGCGUUGCUGCAAAGGCGAACAAAGACGGGUGAGACAAUUAAGAGCAUUGUCAUCAGCAUCUUAAUUAAAGAGAAUCAAAAGAACAACAACAUUAUGAACUGCCUUUUGUGGUUGACUCUUGAAGAAAGAACUUCUUUCAUUAUUUAUUCAAUUGGCAACUUUAAACUUCAAUGCAAAUAGUUUAAGUUGCUUUAUUGUUGCUGUCACUCUCAAUGUUGUUGUCUCUGCUGUUAUUGUUGUUGUUGCUCAGAAGUCCAAAUGCAAACAAUUUACUUUGUCAUUAGACGGACAAUUUCAACACCCCACUUUCCACUCUUCCCCUAUCACCGUGUCCUGUGUCUGCCUUUGUUAUCCUUUUGUAUACGGCUUGUCCUGGCUGCUGCUGCUCAUUUGAGCCAACCAAUUGCCCAGUUGGCAAAUACUUUGUGUCCCGUUUGUUUUUUACUUUUAUUUGGACAUUCAUUUGUUGCAUUUGAAGCAGAGACUAAAAUAACAAACAAAUGGCAACUCACAGCACAACAAAUGGAAAACUCGUUCACAGUAUUUUGCACAUUUUUCGCUUAAUUUGAAUUUUUCUAUGCAAAUGA